UACGUAGGGUGCGAGCGUUGUCCGGAAUUAUUGGGCGUAAAGGGCUCGUAGGCGGUCUGUUGCGUCGGGAGUGAAAACUCAGGGCUUAACCCUGAGCCUGCUUCCGAUACGGGCAGACUAGAGGUAUGGAGGGGAGAACGGAAUUCCUGGUGUAGCGGUGAAAUGCGCAGAUAUCAGGAGGAACACCGGUGGCGAAGGCGGUUCUCUGGGCAUUACCUGACGCUGAGGAGCGAAAGUGUGGGGAGCGAACAGG
rnacentral:rRNA from 1 species